UUUAUUACAUCGAACUACUGUGCUCAGAGCUCACAUUCCUCAGGCAUAUAAAUGCUGGGCUCAUUUAAGCUUCGUGUUUACAGCAGAGGAACAUCCUCCCAGUACUGUGUCCUGCUUCAAGUGAUCCGGGCGGUAGGUGUGAGAGUAUAGCCCAAUGUUGUAUCAGGUCGGAGCAAAGAUUAUGUUGGCAGCUGCGUCGCAGUUGGAGUCACUAUCAAAGGGCCUCAGUUUUAUCGCGGAACACAGCACCUUCCGGAGUGUUCCACCAAUUCCUUUCGGGGCUGUUCACCUUUUUUGACAGAGCAUGAGCGACCCUCUGGGGUUCAGGAUGGAUUCCACACGUUCACACGGCAGAACCACAUCAAGUUCCUGAGGGAUGUCAGCUCAGCAAGCUAAGACCCACAGCAAGCAAGACUCAGCGUUUGCCACAUGCAAACAUUUUCAGGGGGAAACGCGACCAGCCCUGAGCUGCAGGGUUCAGGUUUUAUGUUUCAGUGAGGGACCAACUCCUUGGAUUAAAACUACGACCAGAGCCUUGGGAUUGUAACUUGUUCGUUACUUUGCUGGCUUUUAAAAGUAAUAUCACAUUG